rnacentral:rRNA from 1 species
UUAGAGGAAGUAAAAGUCGUAACAAGGUUUCCGUAGGUGAACCUGCGGAAGGAUCAUUACAGAGUUGUCGACACGAGUUGUUGCUGGUCCUCAAACGGGGGCAUGUGCACACUCUGUUCACACAUCCACUCACACCUGUGCACCCUCUGUAGUUCUAUGGUCUGGGGGACGCGCCGUCUUCCUUCCAUGGUUCUAUGUCUUUACACACACGCCGUAGCGAAGUCUUAUGGAAUGUACUCUGCGUUUAACGCGAUAUAAUACAACUUUCAGCAACGGAUCUCUUGGCUCUCGCAUCGAUGAAGAACGCAGCGAAAUGCGAUAAGUAAUGUGAAUUGCAGAAUUCAGUGAAUCAUCGAAUCUUUGAACGCACCUUGCGCCCCUUGGCCAUUCCGAGGGGCAUGCCUGUUUGAGUAUCAUGAACACCUCAACUCUCAUGGCUUGCCCGUGAUGAGCUUGGAAUUUGGGGGUUUUGCCGGCCUGUGGUUGGCUCCUCUCAAAUGAAUCAGCUUGCCAGUGUUUUGGUGGCGUCAUUGGUGUGAUAACUAUCUACGCUUGUGAUCGUCUGCCAAGUGACCUUCAGUGAAUGGAGGUUCGCUGGAGCUUACAGAUGUCUCUCCUCAGCGAAGACAGCUUUUCGAAUGUUCGAUCUCAAAUCAGGUAGGACUACCCGCUGAACUUAAGCAUAUCAUA